rnacentral:rRNA from 1 species
GAUGAACGCUGGCGGCGUGCCUAAUACAUGCAAGUAGAACGCUGAAGGAAGGAGCUUGCUCUUUCCGGAUGAGUUGCGAACGGGUGAGUAACGCGUAGGUAACCUGCCUGGUAGCGGGGGAUAACUAUUGGAAACGAUAGCUAAUACCGCAUAACAGUAGAUGUUGCAUGAUAUCUACUUAAAAGGUGCAAUUGCACCACUACCAGAUGGACCUGCGUUGUAUUAGCUAGUUGGUGAGGUAACGGCUCACCAAGGCGUCGAUACAUAGCCGACCUGAGAGGGUGAUCGGCCACACUGGGACUGAGACACGGCCCAGACUCCUACGGGAGGCAGCAGUAGGGAAUCUUCGGCAAUGGACGGAAGUCUGACCGAGCAACGCCGCGUGAGUGAAGAAGGUUUUCGGAUCGUAAAGCUCUGUUGUAAGAGAAGAACGAGUGUGAGAGUGGAAAGUUCACACUGUGACGGUAUCUUACCAGAAAGGGACGGCUAACUACGUG